UCCCUAGUGGCUCAGAUGGUAAAGAAUCUGCCUGUAAUGCAGGAGACCUGGGUUCAAUUCCUGGGUUGGGAA
rnacentral:tRNA from 1 species